GGUCUUGGAAAGCAGCCACAAAGUAACACAAUGUUCCGGCUGUACUGUAGCUGUACCGCUGCCGCUGCUGAUGAGAACACUGUGUUCCAACAGACACCCUGACCUGUAACCCGUUCCGUGCCAGGCCGGGAACAGCCUGUUCCGCAGCAGGCUGUCCUCUCUCUCUUCCUCUCUCUGCUCAGCUGACAACACAUAUCAACAACACGGCGCUGCCUGCCUGCGCUCAUAAACGGGGAUGUGUAAGCACCGAAAUAAAUGUUCACCUCAGAGCCCGAUAAGACGCGCGCUUUGACGGAUUACUUUGUCUGAGAGCGACGAUUUUAGUUCCAAGUGGUCAGACUUUUGUUGUAAUACAUGGAUCUGUUGCCACUUUGCUCUUUAAAACGUGCCUUGUCUUUCAUGGGAAUUUUACUGGGACAAAGAAGAAAUACUCUAGGCAUGUGCCUCAAGAAGAUGGAUUUGGUGACUCCUAUGUUUCUAACCUAUGAACUUAUAUGUUUCUUACAUUUAUUGUAACUAUCUUACAUUCUUUCUCAAUAUAUUAUAAACCUGUAUACUUAAUAUGUGUAAUCAAUAGCAUUACAAAGAUACUUCAGUUUCUUAAAACAUAAAUGUGUUGUUGGCUAUUAUGGAUAACAAUUUAACUUUCAUUUCAGUCUUUAUUAUCUCCAGCUAUAACUGGUAAAAAAGAUGCAUGCAUCACUUAUAAUGAUGGCCAAGUGAUGACCCUGGUUGAAAGUAAAGAAGGCUGCAUUAUCAUCCCUCAUCUGAGAUCAUAGAAGAUUUUAACUUUUAUAUACUAACUGAUGUCACUUGUCUGUUUGCCAAUGUUCCAAAAUGUGACCAUAUUAUAGGCUGAUAUGCAUGGAAAUUACAUUUUAAUUUCUCUGGAGAGGAGACGUGUAAAGACAUUUUCCUAUCUUUGUUUCCAGUGAUAAAGAGAUGAAAAUAUGUAUGCAUCUCCUAUGAUAAUAAUGAUAAACUCAUGACUUUGACUGUACUUUUACUUUACCUAAUUGCAUUUGACAAUAACUCAGCAUUUUUACCUAUGAACUUUACUUAUUAAGGCUAUAUUUAAGUUCCUUGAUUGUAAUUCUUUUUACUGUUAUCAGAUUAUGCUAUUGACCUACUGUGUAUUGUUUACAUUUCUAAUUUAUGGCACAUUUUGGCAUUUAUACGAUAGCUGACAUCACUUGUUUCUAUGCAAAUGUGCUUUAAUGUCCCAAAACUAACCAUACUAUUGGCUACUAUGGAAUAAACUAAAAGUUUAAUUUCUCGUGAGAGGAACGCAUUGACUCAAUUUAUGCAAACAACUUAAUUGAGCAUCUUCAGUAUUAUAGAGAUCACCCAUAUGAAUCCAGUGAUAAAUCUGGACGAAUGUUUACGUUACAUCGUUUUUUACAAUGCUUUUAACUUAUUUCUCCAAUGAUUAAAUAACAGUGUAAACACACCUUGUUUAGGUGACAUCAUACGCGAUUCCCUUUGGUAAUGUUGAGAAGUUUAUUGUUUAAUAUUUUAUGAGCUUGUUUUAAAAGUCAAACCUUAAUCUUUUAAGAAAAACCCUUUCAGAAGCAACAAAAGAAAUCCUAUUAUAAAACUUUAAAUUUCCAAGUUGUUUUCAAGCACUUUUCGAGUUGUAUAAAUAGUGUUAGCAGACCAAAGUCAACAUUUGUGUAACUAAAUGUCAAAUAAAUGUAAAUGGUUAUUAAAUUCAGUGAAGUGCAGUAAAAAUAAAGUGCUGAAUAUUUUACAGUAUGAAGGCACAACAAAGCAACCCUAAAUACUGGUAAUAAAGAUACACAACACAGAAUGUGAACUUAAAUUAGUAGACAUUAGCCAACUGUUUGUAUUAUAUUCCAUGGUGUUGUAAGCCUUAUAUAAAUGUUUCAGGUUUUUAUGAAGCUUAGAGAGGAAAAUAAGAAUAGUAUAUGUUAAAUAGGUAACAUAAGUAUAGACUAAGGUACUUGGUUAAUUACGCUUCCAAACAUUUAAUGUGUCUGUGGUAUUAACAAAAAUGUUGAAAGCAAUUAGCGAUGUGAUAAAAAGAAUUUAAAAUAAAAUUAUUUAUUCUUCUUUUUUAUUUUGCUGUUAAAGAACAUUUAAGGAAAACAGAUUCAAAUUCAGCUGCAUUUAGUAUGCAGUUUGAGGGGUUGUACAGUAAAUCAAAGAUUUAGACAAUUUCUAAACUGUUAAGGUUCCCUGUGAUUUUUAAUGCUGCUGUACAUAGUACAUAGGUCAUGUAGAAUAACCCAAAAUAAUUAGUCUUAUGUGAAAUAUUAACUUGUGUUUUAGUAAUAAAAUAUUGUGUUAUUCAAGUGUGUGGGGUGUGUCAUUUAUUACAAUUCAGUAAUAAAUACAGUUUUAAAACGAAUAACAUCUAUAAAUGCAUUCAGGUAAAGCAGGAUUAUACCUAAUUUCCCAAAGUUUUCAGUUUAUAAAGUCAGUGCAAGGACACCCUGAGUCUCAUUUAUAUAUCAGAACAAAGAUUAAGGCCGUCCACAUAUUAAAGUUAAAGUAAUAUUUUGAUUUAAGUUGUAUGUGUAACAGUUGCUUAAUAAGAGAACAGAAAAGGGCAGGCGAACAUUAAGGAGGAAACAUUAAUGUUCCCACAGUUUCCAGGUAGACUAAUACUGAGCUGAAUUGUUCAUGGUACAUUGAAGCACCUGUAAAUACGGACCAUAAAAGGAUACUGUAAGAGGGAACCUGGGUUAUCAAACAUCAUCCAAGUUUGUAAGUAUGCAUUCAUACUUGAUGUUUUAAGUAUGACCUUAAACAUAAAAACACUAUUUGGCGGUUUUUGCAAAUCUUUUAGGUUUCUGUGAAACUUGGACGAGAAAGCGUAAGUCCCCAAGUUACUUUAUUCUGACAAAAGUUUUUGUUUUUGUUUUGAGUCAGACAUAUUUAAAAGAGAAGUGUUUAAAACAAAAAAUCUAACAAAGUAAUAUAAAUCAUUUUAAGUAUGGGCAAUGAUAAUCAACAAAAUAAGCCCCUUUCACUAGAAAUACACCAAUUUGGCUUUUCUGGGGGCCGAUACAAAAAUUCAAACCUCUUUAUUCAGAUUACUUUUCCCUAACAAACAUAUGCUGGAGUUUCUUGCACAGAGAAAUAAGAAAUUCUAUGUUUAUCACUAUUUAUGCAUCUGGCUGGUUGAUUAGUGCACAUUUCAGUAAUAAUAUUUUAAUGAGUUACUAUGUUCUAGGAAAGUCCAAUUUAUAAUGCUGUUUAAGAGGCUGUUUUGCAAGUUAAAGAGUAUUUUAGGCAAAAACUACCUGUAAUUUAUUUGCUUCUCAAAUAUUUUAAACAGUUAUUUUAACUUUGUUUCUGUUGUACAUUAGUUUAUAUCUAAUUUUCUCUCUUCUCUCGUCACAUUGUUUUUUUGUUUAUAUGUUAUAUGUUUUUUAACUUGUUUCACCUUGUUUUUGCAACUUGCACUUUGAUAAUACUAGUGUGGUUCUAAAUGUAAUUUAUAAAAACGUUGAUAUUGUCAUUUGUAGUAAAUACAGUGUGGAUAAAUUAGUUGUGCAACAGCUGAAUUUUAAAACAUAGGACUCAUUUAGGUUAACCUUAAGUCUUUAGCCUUCUCUGAAAUACUGUAUGCAGUUAGACAUUAUAUGUAAAUUUAACUAAAGUUGUGUUGAAAAGUCAUAAUGGUGGAUGUGUUUUGCCCAAAUGUCUUCCAUCUCUCAGGUUCUAAUGCACUUUUAUAAAAGGAAUUCAAAUAAAGUAAAAUUCAGCUCAUUUCCAGGAGUUUUCCAUUUUUGAAGUCCUUGUGAGAAAGCUGUAGUGUCUCCAUGACAUUCCUUAAUGUCGCCAUCUGCUUGUUAAUGAACCACUGAGAAUCUGACAUUAUUUUGAUCUUGAACUGUGUUUCAAUAAAAAAAAAAAUUAUAUCAUUGCUUGCAUAGCUCUUAUGUUUUAAAAUGGGCAAGAGUGUUUCCCAAAACUUGUACUAAAGGCCAGAUAUUUUAAAUGAAGUUGUGUGGAAAAGCAAAUGAAAUUUCCACAUUAAAAUGAUGUAUAACAUAUUUGGCAAUGCUUUGAUGCUUUUGUGCUUUUAAUUAUUCUGGUGUUAGUGUCUCAACAUGAGACAUUGACUUUUUUAUGGAGCUUCUUAUUAUAAUAUUUAUUUUUUAAAUAAAAUGUUUUACAAAAGACAAAAA